GCGGAUGUGGCGGAAUGGCAGACGCGCUUGUUUAAGGGGCAAGUUCGAAAGAGUGGAGGUUCGACCCCUCUCAUCCGCACCA
rnacentral:tRNA from 1 species